GCCAAGUUGGGAUUUCUCCAUCAACCCUGCAAGUUACCACCCUGGGUCUUGGUGCUUGCAGCACUUCCGGUGCCUGGCUGCCCCAGGCCCUCUGCUCCCUCUACUGCCUGGGUUUAAUCCCUCCUCUGCCACUGCCCAGCAUCAGGACUUUGCUGGUUUUGCAGCCUCUUGGUACCUCAGUUUUAUGUUUGUGGAAUAGGAGUGGUCACAGUACUCUCUGGGAUCCUGGCAAAAGGUGUGGUAGGCAGGUGGUAAGCAGGGCCGAGCACUAUCCCCAGCACCUAGUGAGUUGAUGCCUUAUCAUUUACCUGAUCCAGGCAGGUCUUAAGGUACAAGAGAAAGAGAAAUGGGGCUUCUUAGAACCCCCUGACCCCACAGCUUCUACUUGGAUGGAAUUUUUGGAAGAAGCACUGGCUGCAGAGUCCAGAGAUCUCAGUGUGAAUUUCUGAAGGACUCCUUCCCAAGGAAGUGACCUUGAGAAAGUCCCAAACAACCCCUGUCAAGGACUUGACUAACAGCUUCUCUAAUGUUUGUCUCCCUUUCCAAUUUAAGAACAAAUGGAUGAAAUCAAGUAUGUGUCCCUAACCAAUCACAGAGUAGGCCCUACUUGUAGUUAGCCUGCCUUCGGCUUCCUCAGACCCACAGACUCCAAUUAGCACACCUAAAGCCUUCCCUU
rnacentral:lncRNA from 1 species